GGUCCGGCAGAGAGUGUUUUCCCCCAGAAGAAUAUGAAUGAAAGACCAUCAAAUAAUCCAGAUAUGGCACGAGCACAGCACCAGGUUUUGUCUGAUGAAACAAACAGCAUUUCGGAGGAACAUCUUGAUCAGCACAGCCUUAUGCUUAAAAAAUAAGCAAGACCAGUAAGCAACCAAGAAUACUGGGAGCCUGCCUGUGCAAACUGGACCUCAUACAACAG